CCCGGGUCCCCGCGCGAUGUCGGCCCGUGAACCAGGUCAGGUCCGGAAGGAAGCAGCCUUAAGCGGUCACCGGUAGGCGCAGCGGGAGAUCCCGGACC
rnacentral:SRP_RNA from 2 species